rnacentral:lncRNA from 1 species
CAAUGGCACAUAACCUGCGAACAGGGGAAGGACACCAAACCGGAUCGACGAGGAACAAAGAUUGCACAACUUCGACGCCUACUUCUUUCAAUUUUAGUUUCAUAGCCCGGUGCUUCUUCAUCAACCUCUUUAGUUGAGCCCCUGACUACACUGGUGGUUACUCAACCUUGGUGUCUUUUGGUCCUCCAUCAACAAAUUUUGCAACUUCACUAGUGGACAAUUUGUACAAAAGAAGAGAAGACAAGGGAAAUAUGUUUGGUCUUUUCACUAGUUUUCAACAAUAAAGCACACCAGAGCCAAUCAGAAAUUCAUUCACUUCAAACACUUAUAAGACACAAUAAGUCGUAAAUGAUAAAUCUUUUUGGAAUUUUUGGGUUUUGCAACUUAAACACAAAGAUGAAAAAAAUGAAAANCCACUAAUGCCAUCCCCUCACCACUCAACUCCACGUCCAAAAGCUAAAUUGUCGGUCCGCUCCCGAUACCGUUUUCACCCCUUCCACCACAACCCUCGUGCACUCUCUGCUCCCUGCCUGUACGGUUUGCUCUGUCACUGUCUCGGUCCCACAACUCGUGUUCCCCCGGAGGGCGCCACUAAAGCCGAACGCUCGCGCACCACCUAUCGGCGGAGCAGGAGCCAGGGCAGUCGGCACCGCAAUGACUAACCCACAUGAUGCGUGCACGACGCUACCUGUCGCCGGGGCCAAGGACAACCAACAAGGGAACAUGGCAUGCAACAUCAAGUCAAUGGCACAUAACCUGCGAACAGGGGAAGGACACCAAACCGGAUCGACGAGGAACAAAGAUUGCACAACUUCGACGCCUAAUUCUUUAAGGUUUUAGUUUCAUAGCAAGCUGCUUCUUCAUCAACCUCUUUAGUUGAGCCCCUGACUACACUGGUGGUUACUCAACCUAGGUGUCUUUUGGUCCUCCAUCAACAAAUUUUGCAACUUCACUAGUGGACAAUUUGUACAAAAGAAGAGAAGACAAGGGAAAUAUGUUUGGUCUUUUCACUAGUUUUCAACAAUAAAGCACACCAGAGCCAAUCAGAAAUUCAUUCACUUCAAACACUUAUAAGACACAAUAAGUCGUAAAUGAUAAAUCUUUUUGGAAUUUUUGGGUUUUGCAACUUAAACACAAAGAUGAAAAAAAUGAAAAAAAGAAAACGACAAUGAAAAGCCAAAAAGAACAAUCAAAACAAAAC